GGAUCAAUUUGGUGAUGACUGGACUUCUGAUACUGGAGGGGUCGGGGCUAGCAGCUCCAGAGGUGGAGGGGAUGGUGCUGGAGGCUUUUAUGGAUCCUCAUUUCUUGGUGGUGUUUCUUGGGUUACUGCUCCUGCAGGAGGAGCCCUUUCUCUUGAUUCUCAGAAAUGGCUGCCAUCCGAGUCUUUCCCUGACUUCAGUGGCUUGUUUACUCCCACCGUGCCACUGGGCAUGGUCGCAGCACCUCCCAUACUUCCUUCAUCCUACAUCAUCCAGUCUGGGAAUGGCUACCAGCGGGGAAGGGAAGCCCUUGCUUUCUCUAAAUACUCUGAUGAUAUAGUCGUUCCUUUUCUUCUGACACAGUAUCCAGAGUUUUCCUGAGACUGAGUUUCAAGAGCCGCAGAUCUGAGGUGAUGCUGUGCAAGAACUGAAGUCUUCAAACAUUAAACAAAAGACAAAUUGCAUUGACUGUCAAUCAUCUUUGUUUUAGAUGUUUCAAUGAGCUCUUAACUCUAUGGACAAUGAACCACAAUUUGUAAACUACAAUAAUGUUCACUGAAUGAAGGGUAUUAUGGCCUGGAAAUAAAUGCAGCAGGAUAACUGGUUGCCAAAAUUUUACUGCUAGUGAGCUGGAAAUACACUCGUAUAUCUGCUGCUCCCAAAGUAACACACAAAAUGGCUGGCAUGAGUAAACCCACUAGAUGUUUCUUAUAAAUAGCAAGAAGAAAGUUUUGAUCCCUGAAACAAACUCCACAAACUUUCCUU